UAAGGUGUGUAUGUGUGUUUUAGACAGGGUGUGUGUGUCUUAGACUGUGUGUUAAAGUAUGGGUGUGUGUUUUGGACAGGAUGUGUGUUAAGGUAUGUAUGUGUGUUUUAAACAGGGUGUGUGUGUCCUAGACUAUGUGUUAAAAGUAUGGGUGUGUGUUCUAGACAGGAUGUGUGUUAAGAUGUGUGUAUGUGUGUUUUAGACGGGUGUGUAUGGUCUGUAUGCGUGUGUGUUAGGGUGUGUUUGUGUUUUAGGGUGUGGUAUGUGUGUUAGGGUGUGGGUGUCUGUGUAUUAAAGUAUGGGUGUGUGUUUUAGACAGGAUAUGUGUGUGUUAAGGUAUGUAUGUGUGUUUUAGACAGGGUGUGUGUGUUUUAGACAGUGUGUGUUGGGUGAGUGCAUGUGUGAGAUGGGGGUGUGUGUGUUUCAGACGGUGUGUAUGUGUGUUAGGGUGUGUGUGUGUUGGGUGAGUGCAUGUGUGAGAUGGGGGUGUGUGUGUUUCAGACGGUGUGUAUGUGUGUUAGGAUGUGUGUGUGAGAGUGAGUGCAAGUGUGUGAGACGGUGGUAUAUGUGUUUCAGACGGUGUGUAUGUGUGUUAGGAUGUGUGUGUUUGUUAGAGUGAGUGCACGUGUGUGAGAUGGGGGUGUGUGUGUGUUUUAGACGGUGUGUAUGUGUGUUAGGGUGUGUGUGUUUGAGUGCAUGUGUGUGAGACGGGGGUGUGUAUUUUAGACGAUGUGUAUGUGUGUUAGGGUGUGUAUGUGUGUUUGAGUGCAUGUGUGUGAGACGGGGGUGUGUGUGUUUUAGACGGUGUGUAUGUGUGUUAGGGUGUGUGUGUUAGGGUGAGUGCAUGUGUGUGAGAUGGGUGUGUGUGUUUUAGGGAGUGUGUGUUUUUUAGACAGGGUUGAGAGUGUUGUUUUACACAGGGUGUGUGUUAGGGUGUGUGUAUGUGUGUGUUAGGGUGUCCGUGUGUGUGUGUUGGGUGUGUGUGUGUGUGUUAGACAGGGUCUUGCUGUCGCCCAGGCUGGAG
rnacentral:lncRNA from 10 species